GCAUUUAUUAAAUUGGAAAUUGGUAAACGCAAAGCAUGAUUUGUUUUUCUUCUACAAACGGCUGGUCCGUGCAGGGCCCAUUGACUUGGCCUUUUCUCUGAGUAAAAACUUCUGAAUCUUUCCCGUCGACGUCUUCGGCAGCGUCUCCAUGAAAACCACCGUCUUGGGCACCAUAAAUCGCGGCAGCUUUCCUCUACAAUACUCAAUAAUCUCCUCCUCCGUUGGGGGUGGACUCAAACCUUCUCUCAAGCUCACAAAUGCACACGGCGUCUCUCCCCAAAACUCAUCCGGUCGCGCCACCACCGCUACCUCAUUCACUGCCGGAUUCGUAUACAAAACUGAUUCCACUUCAACACUGCUCAAAUUCUCUCCCCCGCUUAUAAUCACAUCCUUCGAUCUAUCCUUUAUCUCCAAAUACCCAUCUGGAUGCAUCACCCCAACGUCUCCGGUGAAGAACCACCCCUCCUCCGUCAUUGCUUUUUUUGUUGCUUCAGAAUCUUUAUAAUACCCAAGCAUCAUUGAUCCACCUCUUAGAACAAUCUCCCCAAUUGAAGCUCCGUCUCUUUUCACACUCUUUCCGGUCUCCGAAUCCAACACGUCUACCUCUGCCAUUGCUAGAGUCCGCACCCCUUGUCGUGCCUUCAGUCGUGCACGCUCCGUUGCUGGUAAUCGGUUCCAUUUUGACUUCCACGAGCAAUAAAUCACCAACCCACCAGUCUCUGUCAGUCCAUACCCAUGGCUCACAUCAAACCCCAACGAUUCCGUUCGAAACAGAACUGUCGCAGGCGGCGGUGCUCCGGCCGUAAGAAUCUUGACCGGUCGUUCAAGCGGUCGAUUAUCAGGGGAGUUUGUUAGCAUGUUAAGCACCACCGGAGCUCCGCAUAAGUGUGUCACGUUAUGGCGAUGAAUCAGUGAAAAAAUUAAGGCCGCAUCGAAUUUUCGUAUGCAAAUAUUUGUGCCUCCUACGGCAGCGAUUCCAAAAGGGAAACUCCA
rnacentral:misc_RNA from 1 species